ACACAAAUCUGUCGGCCACAUAGAAUUCUUUUAUUCUUGGUAACUUGCGCGCUCACUGGAAGUUUCUGGCGCCCGGAUUUAGGCUUUGCGACCGCACAGUAGAUAUUGUUGCGGUCGCAUAGAUUAUGUCUUGGCUGCCCCUCAAUUCCCUGAUUGCUGUGUUGCGGCCGCAUGAAAUGUAUAAGCAUGCGAUCGCAUGGCUUGCAAUCUUGCCCCUUCUUCAGCCGUUUAGAUCAGUUUGCUCCCAAUUGAUUCGGCCUUAACACCCAACUACAAUCUUGUUCUUUGGCUAGCCAUCUUCAACACCCAAACUUGAUACUUGGCUUGAGAUCUUCAACAUGCUCAAUUCCAUGACCUUGACACUUGAUCGCAUGACUUUAUUGGCUCGAAUUGGCGCCCAACUUUGCUCAAAUCUCGACUUCGAUCUCUCGCCAACAUGUGUUAAUUCAUUGCAAUCUUGAUGCGUAUCCGGGAUCACAUCAACGACGAUUUUUUUUAUCACCUCCGACGGUUCUGUCUUUCUACAAGGCCAAUUUUAUUAUUUACAACUAAUUUACGAAUACUUGACUAGUUGGAUACUUUGAACUGUGUUGGAAUUGGGUGGGUAAUACCCAUUUUCACAACUUCUGCCGAAAGGAUUUUAUUUAUUAUUUUUUUCCCAAGGGAAAAGUGGUAUUUUUUCAGUCCUGUUUGGAUGGUGAAAUUGGGUCGAAGUGUUUGAUACUUUGAUUGUAUCAUGUUUAAAUAUAGACCAAAAAAUUGGUUUCAGUCAUUUUUCUUGUGUCUUGCAGACAAAUAAAAAUGCCCAUAUUCUUGCUCUCACCGAUGAGGGGGGUUAUAUUGGACUGUCAACACAAUGCAGAAGAUUUCGGAUUCCUCGCAUUUCGGCAGAAAAUGCAGAAAAAGCCAAGGUGUCGGAGCGGGUUGCUCACGAUAAAGCCAAGGUGCCCAUUUUCUUGUCUCCUUAUUAUAAUUUUGCUGAUACUUUUUAAUGGUUUGAAGCUUGUGUAUUGAUGAAAAUUUUAUAACUACUUUAUAAGCUCCAAUCUUGUCCCACUGUUAGAGAAUUUUGUGAGAAACCAACUUCUAAUUUGGUUGUGAACUUGUGAUUGCUGUUCAGUUUAUGAGUUGAGUUUUAUCUAUGCUAUAGUAAUUAGUUCUAUAAAUUUUUGAGGCUCCUUGACUAUAUUAAUGUUGCUUUACACCCAAAAAUGAAUUAACUUUAAUAUUUAUCAACAAGUCGUCUCAAACCAAUCAACCCGACCCAACCCGACCGAUACUUGAUUGCGUUGGGUUGGGUUUCAAACUUUACACGGGUUGGAUUGGGUUAAAUUUUGAUCAAAAGGGUUGGGGAACCCAUGCCCACCCUUAGGGAUAAUAAUUAAUUGUGCAAGACUCAAUAAUCAGGAAGUUAAAGGACUAAGACAAUAAAAAAAAAUUUGAAGGGACUAAAAAAAAUUUUUUUUGACUCGUGCAAAUUGCGACGAUACGGACGUGAACAAUACGAUAAACAUUAACUUUUUUUUUUUUACCAAAAAACACAAACAAUUAAACUAACAAUGAAAUUUUAGAUCUAAGACUCAAACUGACUGAAAAAGCACGAAGAACACGAAGAAUACAAACAAGACUCAAAACAAAAAAUUCAGAGGGAUAUAACUUUGAAUCUGUUGCCCAAAGCUCUGAUACCACCUGAUGUGAACCCGACCAGCAAUGUUACAAUCGAACUCACAGAAGAAUGACUCAAACUCUAAGAAAGCCAGAAAACAAAGUUUAUGGAAAUUGACCCACAAUUAAUGAACCAAACAAUCAUCACAUUCACUAGGAUAUGCUGACCUUUUGAUUACAAUAUUAAUGAAAAUCAAAUCCGGAAUUUAAAGUUUGACUCGAAGAAUUAAAUGAACCAAAAAUCAAGACAAUUAUUAGAAUACCUUGACCCCGUGAUUGCACAACCAACGGAUCGCACUUUGAUUGUUGAACGCCACGAGAGGAUAUCUCGACAAGUUCGGGAUUGUUCGCAAAGAACAAACAAAGGAAGCAAACGUGCCUCUGAAUUAAUUUAAUCUCAAAAACUGUCUUACAAUGAAAAUAGGUUCCUAUUUACAUGUAACCAAGAAAAAACCUAAAAAUCUAAUUUAAAAGGAAAAAUACGUCCAUAAUAUCAUGAAAAUAAGAAAGAAUAUAAUUCUAGUCAAAAUAGGAAAACUCGCGAAAUUUGCAACACCGGCCCCCAAAAUAAUACCAUGCGGCCACAUGGUUUAGUUGUGGCAGCCGGUUAAUUCCCUGCCUCAUGCCAUGCGGCCGCAUGCUUGGACGCUGUGCGGUCGCAUGGUUCCCUUUUUUCGGCUCCGUUUUUCGGCUACUCGGUUCAACUUGCUUUUGGCCCUCGUCCCCAACACGAAACUUGACCCUUGACUUGCUAACUUCAGCCUCUCGGACUCCAAAACUUGAAUUGAUGAUUGCAUGACUUGUAUUAACGACAAUUGGCCUCCAACUUAGCUUAGAUUUUGGUCUCAACCCGCCUCCCACAAUUAGCAACUUCUCAAUCAAUUUGGGCGGGUUCCAGAUCACAUCACCUACAGAAUAGGAUAUUUAAUUGAUGAACUUCAGGGAAUUGUGUGUUUCUUCCUAUGGUGCAUAAGUUUCAGGGGUAAACGUAGUGCAUCACCAGGACUUGAACCAGGAAAUUCGGAUUGCACUCAUUGUGGCUUUGACUCUUCCUGGGGUAAUUUUCCUGUUCUUGGCAUGCAUUUCAAUACGCUGACUAAAAGGGUUAAAGAAAUACUGUGAAAAAAAAAAUCAGAGUCCAGGUACCAUUUUUCAAGUGAACUCCAUUUUCCUUCCCUUCUCUCCUUGUUUUUUUGUUUUGAGUAGCUUGUGGGGGUAGGGGAAAGUAAGUUGAUAUAGGAUUACCAAUAAGCCUAAAACAGAUUUUUUUUCCUCGGCUGUACUAUUGAUCUUGGUUGUACUUUUUGUAAUGCUCUGUUGACGGUAAUUUAUUUGAAUAUGCAUAAGUAGAAGCUGCAAAUGGGAUCUCAUUAGGUCCCAUUUUGGAUAAACACACUUCUUUGAGAAUCAGAAUAAAAAAGGGCUCAGUAGGUGAUAUCGAGUAACAAUUGUUAUUAGCGGCUACAAAUAAUUUCCAAGACAACAUUCUCAGUGAAGGUGGAUGGAGGCACUUUUAUAAAGACCACUUUGCGAACAACUUUCAAGCAGCCAUUAAAAAACUACCUGCUGGUGGACAGGUAGCUGAAAAGAGAAUUUGAGAAUGAGAUCAAGUGGGUGAAUUAGAUUCAGCAUCAGAACAUUGUUUCGCUUCUGGGAUACCGUAUUCAUGGCAAAGGGCACUAUCUCGCCUAUGAACUGAUGCACAAUGGUUCUCCGGAAUUCCAGUUACAUGGGAAAAUGAUACCGUACGUCUAAAGACUCGAAGAAGAAAAGGAAAAGAAAGACAAAAAAACAAGUGUUUUAUGAAGAUAAUCUCGUAGAUCAUUGGCUUGAAGAGAGUUUAGACGUGAAAUUGACCAAUUCUAGCCUAACUUUUCAACAAUCUUUCAGGUAAGCUUACUGACAAAAGUGAUGUCUAUGUAUUUGGUAACAUUCUUCAGGAGUGUUUGGGGCUAGACUCGUGGACUAUAUAUUUGAGGCUCUUCUGUCAGUUUUAUUGAAGC